rnacentral:rRNA from 1 species
UGGGGAAUAUUGCACAAUGGGGGGAAACCCUGAUGCAGCGACGCCGCGUGAGCGAAGAAGUAUUUCGGUAUGUAAAGCUCUAUCAGCAGGGAAGAUAAUGACGGUACCUGACUAAGAAGCCCCGGCUAACUACGUGCC